UUUAAUUAGCUCUGCAAUGGGAUGGGAUCCGAAGCCCUCCGAGGGAUAAUAUAGGCUCUCCCAUCCAACUCCUAUUCCGACACGUCCUCGUCG
rfam:Anopheles merus strain MAF unplaced genomic scaffold supercont2.387, whole genome shotgun sequence.